rnacentral:scRNA from 1 species
GAGGGUAAUGAACCGUUCACAGGUGUUACCCUAUAUUUUGAUAAACCGUGGGUGUCGA